GUUCGGUUGACCCACGUAAACAACUAUUCUCGGCACGCUCGUUAGAGCUAGUAUCGCUGCAGAGGAAAAUGAGCCUAUUUAUCAGCCCUGAAACACCGAGCAAUACGGUUAUGGAGUUUCCACACUACGAUCAAUAAAGAAGAAUGUUCAGAGAUACUCCAAGGAGAAGUGUGGCAGGGUCCAGGUUCUAGCAGCCAGGAAACACUGGGUGAAAAAAACUUUGCUCUGGCGCUCAGACUUUGCCAAACAGUGCAGUGCAACAAUGAAGGACACGUACAAGAAUGUGCUUGGAGGAAGUGGGAGGAAGCCAGAGUGCCCGGAGAAAACCCACGCGCACACGGGGAGAACAUGCAAACUCCACACAGAAAUGCCCAAGGGAGAAUCAAACCCAGGUCUUCCCGAUCUCCAGGCUGUUCCUGUAUUUGCCAACGUGCUAACCACUAGACCACCGUGCGGCCCUGCAGAUAGAUCCAUCCAUCCAUUUUCUAUACCGCUUCUUCCUCAUUAGGGUCGCGGGGGCAUGCUGGAGCCUAUCCCAGCUGACUUCGGGCGACAGGCGGGGUACACCCUGGACUGGUCGCCAGCCAAUCGCAGGGCCCCUGCAGAUAGAUAAUAAAGUUAAUUCAUAUUCUACAUACCUUUUAACUUGUCCUGAAGCACCGAUCCAUGAGUUUGAAAGGCUUGUUAAGUUGGACUUAACUUUCGAGGUUAACUUUCGAGCCCCUCUCGAUGUGGUCCAACACUAUAUACCUUAAAGUAUUGUAACGCCAGACCGUAUAGGCAGAACAAAAACCUUUUUAUUUAAGUCCAGCGAUAACCACACAGCACCACAAUUCCUAACACGGGCUACUGUCACGGCUGCAACCCACGCCGAACUAAUAAAUCUGGUAUAAAGCGUGGCGAUGACAUCACAGGCAGAUGAAUUGAGUGUAUCAUCUGAGAUGUACGGUGUCAAGAGUCACUCUUUACAGGACAAAAAUUCACGAACUCGGGCUCUUUGGAGAGGAGGCGUUGGCUCCGACCAACCACACUGUAACCCUUGGUAACCACAGCAGUCGCCCCGUUCCACAGGCAUUUUGCCUACAUUGGUCUGGGUCGUGAGGGCAGCAGUCUCAGUAGGGAAGUCCAGACUGCCCAUCUCUUCCACCGGGAGGACACCAAGGCCUUUCCAGGCCAGCUGUGAGACAUAAUCCCUCCAGUGUGUUCUAGGUUUGCCCCAGGGCCUUCUCCCGGCUGGGCAUGCCCGGAACACCUCACCAGGGAGGCAUCUGGGAGGCAUCCGGACUAGAUGCCCGAGCCACCUCAACUGGCUCCUCUCGAUGUGAAGGAGCAGCGGCUCUACUCUGAGCCCCUCCCGGAUAGCCAAGCUCCUCUCUUAGGGUGGGUCCAGUCACCGUACGGAAGAAACAAAUGUCUGCUGGUGUUUUGUACAGCGCAUUGAGCUGUGUGACAAAUUUAAAAUCAGUUUGGAUCUUAUGGGUCAAAUUUUGGGUUUAACAGUGCCACUAUGUCAGGGGUGGGCAAACUUUUUGUUUCGCGGGCCGCAUUGAGUUAACAAAAUUGGGAGAGGGGCCAGACUAUAUAUUUGAUACACGCACACUAGUUCAAGCUUAUAAUUCUAACAGUUCACCUGGAAUUAUUUGUCAUAUUUUAGCAGUAAAAGUGUUGUACAAUCUGCUAUAUGUGCUUGUGUACCUUUUUUUCAGGAGCACUUUAACCAUUAGACCACAUCAUGCCAGCUUGUAUGUUAUAAAUUUAAAUUAAAUACUUUGGAAGCAACUGGCGGGCCGAAUUCAAAUGCUUGGCGGGCCGUAUGUGGCCCCAAGGCUGUAGUUUGCCCACCCUUGCACUAUGUGUUGUAUUUUUAAGAAAAUAAUAGCACAGACAACACAGUAUUUUCACCCUUUUGUGUGCAGUGCUUCAGGAGUAGAAGGUGAACUACGUACAGUCAUGUGAGGAAAAAGAGGACACUGUUAUUUUAAGGCAGGGGUGCCCAAACAGGGCUGCAUACUGAAAAAUCAAAGGAUGUGGGGGCCACCUUUUUUGUUAAACCAACCCAUGCAGAUAUGCAAAGACGGUUUUUGUAAAAGGAAAAAAAACAGCUUAUAUCUCAGCUUUGUGUUUUUGGUGACAAAGCAUAUUAUUAGUAUGAACUUUUACUCCUUACGUUGCACAUUUUUGCUAUUUUAAGAAAUGCUAUAAGGUAUAAUUGUAUUUUGGAAAGUGCAGAGGGCCAAUAAAAAAACAGCCACGGCCUGGGCCGCACUUUUGACGUCCCUGACUUAAGACUUGUGUGAAUGUCAUGAAAUGUCUAACAGAUCAAACAAUGGCACUUUAUGACACAAUAAAAUUGAUUUAUUUAAAGCUUACACAUCUCUCUCAUCUUAAUAUGGGUAUAUGACAAUUUUUGGAAAAAUACAGCUUUAUUUUCCUUCUCAGUGUGUCCACAAUGCUCUGUGGACUCUUUCUUUGGGAGCUUUUGUGAAAGAUUAAGUGAGAAACUCAGUGAAAUCACGUCUUUGAGGUUAAGGCUUGAUUGUCUGCUAAAUGUCAGACAAUCAACAAGUCAAAAAGUCUGCGAGUGACUCUUACCAUCCACUCCCCCCUUCAGAGUAAUGUUAGCAUAGGUAGCGCCAUCUUGUAGCUGCAAUUCUUUAACACUGAUGGACACGGUCACGUGUCAGUCAACAAAACCCAGAGCGACCGGAGAGUGAUGUCUCAUCCGGUCCUCUGGUGCCGCACUUGGACCAACAUGAGAGAGUGCUGGGAGAAAAGAGCAGGUCUGCUUUCCAUAAAGAUGUGGUAUCUUGAAAGGGCAGCUCCACUUCAUAAUCAUAAAUCAUCUGCUGGAAAUCUGAGGGGCUCGUCAAUCUCGGCAUACCAAGAUAAGUUUGAUAUCAAGACAGUUUAGUAUCAAAAGAAAGGUAAAAUGUGAGGUCAAUGCCCCACCAAUUUCUCAAAAGCCAUUGUCUUCCUCUUGUGGACAUGACUCAGUCCUGGAUGUUUUUAAAAAGUCAGAAUCUUAGAGGGACAGCUGCAUCUCCGUCUUUCUGCUGCAGGCUUUGGUCGACUUAAGGGUCCCUCAGCAUCUCCUCCGGCUCCAGCCCGUGCAUGUAAUGCCAUUUGUAAUGAGAAUUCUAAACAGAGAAGAGCAGUGAGGCAUGACAGGAAUGUUUCUUUUGGAGGGAGCACCGUGUAAAAAAAAAAAAAAAAAAAAAAAAAAAGACAAAAGAGCCCAAAAGGA